rnacentral:rRNA from 1 species
AACGAACGCCGGCGGCAUGCCUAACACAUGCAAGUCGAACGAGACCUUCGGGUCUAGUGGCGCACGGGUGCGUAACGCGUGGGAAUCUACCCUCAGGUUCGGAAUAACUCAGAGAAAUUUGAGCUAAUACCGGAUGAUGACGUAAGUCCAAAGAUUUAUCGCCUGAGGAUGAGCCCGCUUAGGAUUAGGUAGUUGGUGAGGUAAAGGCUCACCAAGCCGACGAUCCUUAGCUGGUCUGAGAGGAUGAUCAGCCACACUGGGACUGAGACACGGCCCAGACUCCUACGGGAGGCAGCAGUGGGGAAUAUUGGACAAUGGGCGAAAGCCUGAUCCAGCAAUGCCGCGUGAGUGAUGAAGGCCUUAGGGUUGUAAAGCUCUUUUACCCGGGAUGAUAAUGACAGUACCGGGAGAAUAAGCUCCGGCUAACUCCGUG